rnacentral:rRNA from 1 species
AUUGAACGCUGGCGGCAUGCCUUACACAUGCAAGUCGAACGGUAACAGGUCUUCGGAUGCUGACGAGUGGCGAACGGGUGAGUAAUACAUCGGAACGUGCCUAGUAGUGGGGGAUAACUACUCGAAAGAGUGGCUAAUACCGCAUGAGAUCUACGGAUGAAAGCAGGGGAUCGCAAGACCUUGUGCUACUAGAGCGGCCGAUGGCAGAUUAGGUAGUUGGUGGGAUAAAAGCUUACCAAGCCGACGAUCUGUAGCUGGGCUGAGAGGACGAUCAGCCACACUGGGACUGAGACACGGCCCAGACUCCUACGGGAGGCAGCAGUGGGGAAUUUUGGACAAUGGGCGCAAGCCUGAUCCAGCAAUGCCGCGUGCAGGAUGAAGGCCUUCGGGUUGUAAACUGCUUUUGUACGGAACGAAAAGCCCUGGGUUAAUACCCUGGGGCCAUGACGGUACCGUAAGAAUAAGCACCGGCUAACUACGUGCCAGCCGCCGCAGUAACAC